CGUAGGUCCCGAGCGUUGUCCGGAUUUAUUGGGCGUAAAGCGAGCGCAGGCGGUUUGAUAAGUCUGAAGUUAAAGGCUGUGGCUCAACCAUAGUUCGCUUUGGAAACUGUCAAACUUGAGUGCAGAAGGGGAGAGUGGAAUUCCAUGUGUAGCGGUGAAAUGCGUAGAUAUAUGGAGGAACACCGGUGGCGAAAAGCGGCUCUCUGGUCUGUAACUGACGCUGAGGCUCGAAAGCGUGGGGGAGCGAACAGGAUU
rnacentral:rRNA from 1 species